GUGGCAGACGGGUGAGUAACACGUGGGAACGUACCUUUCGGUUCGGAAUAAUCCAGGGAAACUUGGACUAAUACCGGAUACGCCCUUCGGGGGAAAGAUUUAUCGCCGAUAGAUCGGCCCGCGUCUGAUUAGCUAGUUGGUGAGGUAAUGGCUCACCAAGGCGACGAUCAGUAGCUGGUCUGAGAGGAUGAUCAGCCACAUUGGGACUGAGACACGGCCCAAACUCCUACGGGAGGCAGCAGUGGGGAAUAUUGGACAAUGGGCGCAAGCCUGAUCCAGCCAUGCCGCGUGAGUGAUGAAGGCCUUAGGGUUGUAAAGCUCUUUUGUCCGGGAAGAUAAUGACUGUACCGGAAGAAUAAGCCCCGGCUAACUUCGUGCCAGCAGCCGCGGUAAUACGAAGGGGGCUAGCGUUGCUCGGAAUCACUGGGCGUAAAGGGCGCGUAGGCGGACUCUUAAGUCGGGGGUGAAAGCCCAGGGCUCAACCCUGGAAUAGCCUUCGAUACUGAGAGUCUUGAGUUUCGGAAGAGGUUGGUGGAAU
rnacentral:rRNA from 1 species